UUUAGCAAAUCUCUUAAAGCCGUUCUCAGUUCGGAUUGUAGGCUGCAACUCGCCUACAUGAAGUCGGAAUCGCUAGUAGUCGCGGAUCAGCAUGCCGCGGUGAAUACGUUCCCGGGCCUUGUACACACCGCCCGUCACACCAUGAGAGUUUGUAACACCCAAAGCCGGUGGGGUAACCUUUUGGAGCCAGCCGUCUAAGGUGGGACAGAUGAUUGGGGUGAAGUCGUAACAAGGUACC
rnacentral:rRNA from 1 species